CCGCGUACUUAGCAGAGAUGCUUUGGUGCCUUCGGGAACUCUGAGACAGGUGCUGCAUGGCUGUCGUCAGCUCGUGUUGUGAAAUGUUGGGUUAAGUCCCGCAACGAGCGCAACCCUUAUCCUUUGUUGCCAGCGGUCCGGCCGGGAACUCAAAGGAGACUGCCAGUGAUAAACUGGAGGAAGGUGGGGAUGACGUCAAGUCAUCAUGGCCCUUACGAGUAGGGCUACACACGUGCUACAAUGGCAUAUACAAAGAGAAGCGACCUCGCGAGAGCAAGCGGACCUCAUAAAGUAUGUCGUAGUCCGGAUUGGAGUCUGCAACUCGACUCCAUGAAGUCGGAAUCGCUAGUAAUCGUAGAUCAGAAUGCUACGGUGAAUACGUUCCCGGGCCUUGUACACACCGCCCGUCACACCAUGGGAGUGGGUUGCAAAAGAAGUAGGUAGCUUAACCUUCGGGAGGGCGCUUACCACUUUGUGAUUCAUGACUGGGGUGAAGUCGUAAAGGGGAAACCCGUA
rnacentral:rRNA from 1 species